GCACUGCUGAGGAGUCCCAUAAUAGGACGAAAGGUCAUCCAGUGC
rnacentral:hammerhead_ribozyme from 1 species